GGUGGCUAUAGCUCAGUUGGUAGAGCCACGGAUUGUGAUUCCAGUUGUCGUGGGUUCGAAUCCAUUAGCCACCCC
rnacentral:tRNA from 1 species